AUUACAGCAACAUAGGAGGACACUGGCUGAAACGUGAUCUAAACUCACUUCAAGAAGAAAAGUACAUGCCUGGAAUUGAAACCAAGAGCAGUCUUCCCACCCGGGAGGCCCCUGGCCCUCAUGGAAGGGUUCUCCAAAGCUCCCAUCACGGUUGUUCCACAGUGACUUAGGAAACUUCAUGAAAACGGAACCCCAUGUAACCUGUUACAGCAUCACAGAAUUCCUGAGGUUUCCCCAUCGAGAGCCCUCUCUCUUCUACUGAAACAGGAGUCCUGACUGAUUGUUCAGACCAUGUGACUGCAGCUCUAACUCUGUCUAGAUUUUGUGUGGAAAAGCCUGAAGGCUGGCUGGAACUUCCCCUGACCGUGGAACAAGGAAAGAAUCCUCUGACAGGAGCCGCUAUCAGCAGAGACAGGUGUAUGCCAUUCAUGGGCCGCGUCUGUACCUACGGAAAAGGGCUGAACUUGGGACCUCACCCAAGAGUUCACUCCCAAUCUGGGAUAGUGAGGUGAUCCCCAUAAACAGAAUCAAUGUGGAGUGGAUUAUCAGAAGCUGGAUUCAUCAUCGAGGCUGAGAAAGAAUUGAAAGUGACCAGCCAAAGGAGUCAUGACUCAUAACAGGAUAUAUAAGGAGGUCCCAGUAAUGGGGCAGUGGUCUUUGAAGAACUCACAAAAGUGGCCAUAUGAGAAAGCCAACAUUUUAAUAUCUGCUAUGACCUAAGACAUUCAAAAUCAGAGAGAACCACGCUUCCCAAGGUAUAGUGCUUAGGGCAAUUAUAGUAAAGAACAUGCUUUGGGAAAUAUUGAUUUACACUUAUCAUUUCCUUCCCUUCCCUUCACUCCUAAACAAUGUUAUUCUCAACAUCACCGUUCUGUUGACGCUGCCCUUAUUAAGUCAAUAAUUAAACCUGCAAUCUUCUUGCUUGACUUGUCUGAGGCAUUUGAUACUGUUGGUCACUUCCUCCUCAAAACAUGUCCUCUGACUUUGGUGGCAGGUCUUCUGUUCUAGCUCUCUUUCUCCAUUUCUGGAUUCCCCUCAUGGACCCUCUGGAUCUUCCUUCCUUUUAAACAUUAUUGGCACUGGCAUUCUAGCCUUGGUCCUGCUCUCUUCUCAUUCUGUAUACUCUUCCGUGGUUAUUUGUUCUAACCACCACCUUCCUUCUCAUUAUUUCCUGGCACAGGAGCCAAAAUAAAUGCAUAUGGAAAUGGCUUUUCCCA
rnacentral:lncRNA from 1 species